rnacentral:rRNA from 1 species
CUACGGGCGGCUGCAGUGGGGAAUAUUGCACAAUGGAGGAAACUCUGAUGCAGCAACGCCGCGUGGAGGAUGACACUUUUCGGAGCGUAAACUCCUUUUAUAUAGGAAGAAGAUGACGGUACUAUAUGAAUAAGCGCCGGCUAACUCCGUGCCAGCAGCCGCGGUAAUACGGAGGGCGCAAGCGUUACUCGGAAUCACUGGGCGUAAAGAGCGUGUAGGCGGAUUAAAAAGUCAGAAGUGAAAGCCCAUAGCUUAACUAUAGAACUGCUUCUGAAACUCUUAAUCUAGAAUAUGGGAGAGGUAGAUGGAAUUUCUGGUGUAGGGGUAAAAUCCGUAGAGAUCAGAAGGAAUACCGAUUGCGAAGGCGAUCUACUAGAACAUUAUUGACGCUGAGACGCGAAAGCGUGGGGAGCAAACAGGAUUAGAUACCCCAGUAGUC